rnacentral:snRNA from 1 species
GGAUGUGAGGGCGAUCUGGCUGCGACAUCUGUCACCCCAUUGAUCGCCAGGGUUGAUUCGGCUGAUCUGGCUGGCUAGGCGGGUGUCCCCUUCCUCCCUCACCGAUCCAUGUGCGUCCCUCCCGAAGCUGCGCACUCGGUCGAAGAGGACGACCUUCCCCCCUGAGGAGAGGACCGGUCUUCGGUCAAGGGUAUACGAGUAGCUGCGCUCCCCUGCUAGAACCUCCAAACAAGAAAUACCAAUGAUGAGAGAGUCAUUGAUCAGCUGCCUCCUGCAUGCCCCACACUGGGGAUCGAG